AGGGCGGUAGUUCAAUUGGUAGAGCAUCGGUCUCCAAAACCGAAAGUUGCAGGUUCAAAUCCUGUCCGCCCUG
rnacentral:tRNA from 1 species